UGCACCUACGGGACGCAGCAGUGGGGAAUAUUGGACAAUGGGGGAAACCCUGAUCCAGCGACGCCGCGUGAGUGAAGAAGUAUUUCGGUAUGUAAAGCUCUAUCAGCAGGGAAGAAAGAAAUGACGGUACCUGACUAAGAAGCCCCGGCUAACUACGUGCCAGCAGCCGCGGUAAUACGUAGGAUGCGAGCGUUAUCCGGAUUUACUGGGUGUAAAGGGAGCGCAGGCGGCUUGGCAAGUCUGAUGUGAAAGGCUGGGGCUCAACCCCAGGACUGCAUUGGAAACUGUUAGGCUGGAGUGUCGGG
rnacentral:rRNA from 1 species